AGGGCAAAAGAAUGGUCACCCUUUUGGAACCUUGGCUGUAGUAAAGGGUCAUGUAUUCGCAGGCCCUGUCAAUUCCUUACGGCCCCCACAAUUUGAAAAACGCUUGUAUAGGACGCAACACAAUAUUUUACUCCAAUCUUCUUAAACCCCACCUUAUUCCUCUACUUACUGGAAGGGUAAUUAAGUUCUAUACUCACUUAUGGUAGAUAUUAUUCCAUUUUCCAUCUGUGGAAUAUGUAGUUGGUCAGAGAGUUUUUAAUUUUUUGGUAAAUUUGGUGCCUAAGAUUACGAUGUCUAACUGUUCUCUUCUGCUUAUUUCUCCUCUCUCUCUCUCUCUCUCUCUUUCACUCUCACUGACAGAUCUUAAGCCACCAACUAAUCUCUUCCCUCAUUUAUUACUUACUAGUAUCACACACACACAAACACAUACUCUCUCUAUAUCCUAUCAGAUCCUAUAGUUGAGUUUUUCUCUCUAUAUAAACACCAUUAAACCUUCUUCUUUCUCACUUGUCUCUACUUUCUUCUCAACCCUUCUUUCAGUUCUCAUAUGGAAGAUUUUUUUCUGUUAGCUUUACUCAAUAAAAAAAAUUCUCAGAUUUCUUAACUUUUUAGAUAUUUUUUGCUUUUUUCUUACUAGCAAUAGUACUUCAAUGGUCUUUAUUUUUUUGUAUACACAUGAGAUAUAUAGAGUUAUUGGUCAAUAAUACUACUAAGUGGGUUCACUACUAAGUAGUGAGUAUUAUUGUUCUUUCUUUGUCUACCCACCACCUAUACUUUACUUUUGCCUCACUAGAUUUGAUUAGAUAAGAUUUAGGGUUAGGGUUAGGGCUGUUUUUAUACUUUUUGUCCUUCUCAUUAUCUACUUCUAUUUUUAUUUUUUUUUCUUAUACUUGCUCUCUUGUAUGAUAUCAUGGUCACACAGAUCUAAAGUGAAGAAAACAGUCAGUGUUUGCUAGUGGAGCAUCAUCAAGAUUCACAAGCUUUAUAGGGCUUCAAAUCAAUUAGCCCUUCUUCAUGUUAUGAGAAUCUUGAUGAUGCUGCAGCAGCAAUUGAUGACUAAUAUUACCAAGGUUUCAGCUUCAGAAUCUUACCAGCUUGGAGUUAAUAAAAGAGUUGCUAAUAAUAUUUUCAUGCUUCUGGAAGAAAAAAAAUUAAUCAAUGAAGUGAAGCUGAACUAUAUGUUUUGAGAAAUAGAAAAGAAUUUUUAAUGCAUAAAUAAUGAUGCCGUUGACCUAUCUGGUAAUGUGCUGUAAUCCUCUAUAGUGUAAUUUGAGGUUUAAUAAUGGAGCUAAGUGCUUUCUGCCAUUUGUAGUACUGAAAACCCCCUUCCCUCCUGCAAAACUCAGAAGGUAUGUCUGUACUAUGAUGCAACUUUGUCUGCACCAUAGAUCAUUGUGAAUAAAUGAGAGUAAGUGCUUUUACUUCAUGGAUAUUUGUGGUAAAAGUAUUUAUUUUUUCUCCUGUUUAUUUAACUAACUUAUUUUUACAUUUUCUUUUUAUUCUUGUGGAAAAGAAUAGCCUAUAUCUCUCUUUUCAGUUUGAGAGCAUGGCCAGUUUAUUACUUUUAUAAAUGUGUAUGUUGCACUUUCGGUAGUUCUGAAAUUUGUUAAAGAAUAAUGCACAUUAGUGUUGUUUUAUUCUUCAGCAUAUAUCAAGUUAUAUUUUAUCUUGAUGGUGCUGUGUUUUUGUUUCUUCCCAGAUAAAGUAGUGUACAUCAGGCUCUAUUUCUGGAAUGGCAAUCUUUAUAUUGUAAUUUGAUUUAACAAUAUAGACUUAUUUCAUAGUUUCAAAACUAGUAUUUAUUUAACUUCUCUUUGAUUACUAGUUACUUCUUAAUGCACCAUGGCUCUUUAUUCAAGCAGAAUUGGAAGAUGAUGAGUUUGAAAUCUCACAUAACUUUCAUAUAAAAAUGUUUCUUGUGUUUUUAUGAAAAGAAUAUUAGACAUGUUUAACAAUGAAUAAACACAUUAUGAUUCACUUAGUUAUGUUUCCAAUGUGUACGAAUGCAACACAUGAUAGUUUUUUAUGGGUCUCUUUGGUUAGCUGAAAAAUAUAAUAGUUUUCUUGUCUCAAAAGUUUGUUAAUUAGCAUCAAAUUUUACAUUUUCCAUGUAACUAUAUAUAUUUCAAACGCACCAAUAUUUUAAUGAUUUAUUAGUGAAAGUCACCAAUAGUAGUUCACUCAAUAUUAUUACAUUUGAAUUAUGAAAGACAAGGGAUAAGUUAUACUCUAUUUUCAUUAAAGACUGAAUAGUACACAUUUUCAUUAUAUAUGCUACAGUGUCGACCCCAUAAUCGAAUAAAUGAUGUUGGAGUCGUACCAUGCAUAUAUCCUGCUAAAGGUACGUUUGAGUUCUCUUUAGCAUCUUUGCUCAUGGUCUUGUUGUUGCUUUCUUGUUGUUGUUUUCUUUUAUGAUAGGAAGAAUGAAUAUAUUAAGCAUUAACCAUUGAGAACACAUUAAGCACAAGAAGCGCUAAUGAUUAACUUAUUUGAGCUUUGUCCACCGUGGAGAUCUUGCUAGUUUCUUCAUGCUCAUGUGAAAGCUAGAUUUUUUAAGGUUAUUUUUUUGGGUUUGGGGUGUCAUUGAUGACCUUGAGUUGUAUUUGUUUCAUUGGUCCUAUUUUGUACUUGAUACUUUUAUUUUUCGUUCUUUCAUAUUUAUUUUGAUUCAUCAGUUGAAAAAAACAAAUGUUGCUAGUUUUUCUUUAUCAUAUAAAUUGGGAUAGGACAUCACUCACAAUGAACACGACACGCUGACACCAUUAAUAAUUUAUGAAAAAUCAUAUAAUUUAAUGUAAUUAUGUGUCGGACCGACACAUGUCCGACACUGUAACACGCCUAAUUCAAAGAGUAUUUGUGUUUCAUUCUCUCCUUAUGUUUACUUAAGUGGUUUCGAUGCAAUAACAGCUCUGGCAGGUUUUCCUCCCUUGGACCGUCUCCUAAGUCUCGUUGUUUUUUAUUCCGUAGGGUUGAUCUAUAUGAUAUAAAUUUUGAACCAAACAGUAGUAACUUUGUUAAACUUGUAUUCGAUGAAACCUAGUUGAGCUAUGUUGCAAUAGUGGUGUGUACACGUAUUCAAAAUCAGCUGUGUCUUUUGUAAAGAAAUAGUCUCGAGAUAAGAAAGAAAGAAAACUCAAGCUACAUUUAUCAAAUUAAAGAAACUUUUUGUAAUGAAAGACAGACAUAUUAAAAAAAAAUCUUAUAAAUUGUGAAAUAGUCACGUGUUUAGAAUCUUUCUCUAUUUCUUUCUCACGAGGAGGAUAUUUGGUCUUGGAACCUAGAUCUGAAUGGAGGUUAUUCAGUUAGAUCGACGACAUACUUGGCGUUUGCUAGUGCUUAGGUUUGAAGAGUUUGUCAUUCGUUUGUCUAAGGUUUGGGUUAGUUAGGACUUGGUCUUCUCUUGAAAUUUAAUUUAAGAUAGGGUCUUUACCUGUUAUAGCCUCUUCUUCAUGCAGAGGGCCAUUACAUAUCAUAAUGGGAUUUCGUGUGUGCUUUUUUUCCUAGGUUUGGUAUAGAGUUUUUAGAUGGUGAAUUUAAUAUGUUGUAUGUUGUCCUAAGGAGUUGGUUCUUUAAUAUUAUUAUUUUUGUUUUUGUUUGUUGAGUUA